rnacentral:tRNA from 1 species
UAGUAAAGUCAGCUAAUU